CGAAAGCCUGACGGAGCAACGCCGCGUGAGGGAAGACGGUCUGUGGAUUGUAAACCUCUUUUCUCAAGGAAGAAGAACUGACGGUACUUGAGGAAUCAGCAUCGGCUAACUCCGUGCCAGCAGCCGCGGUAAUACGGAGGAGGCAAGCGUUAUCCGGAAUUAUUGGGCGUAAAGCGUCCGUAGGUGGCUGUUCAAGUCUGCUGUCAAAGACCGGGGCUUAACUCCGGAAAGGCAGUGGAAACUGAAAAGCUAGAGUGCGGUAGGGGUAGAGGGAAUUCCCGGUGUAGCGGUGAAAUGCGUAGAGAUCGGGAAGAACACCGGUGGCGAAAGCGCUCUACUGGGCCUGCACUGACACUGAGGGACGAAAGCUAGGGGAGCG
rnacentral:rRNA from 1 species